CAGCCGGCAAAGAGGAGCUACACACCGCCGUGACUACCAACAAGACCGACAUCAUAGAUUUCCUGCGCUAUCGCAGCGGAGAGAGGAGGAGGAGAGCGCUGAUUCACGGCUUGCAGGAGGAGGGAGAGCCGAGCGGACGGGCUCAGAAGAUCCAUCUCUACCAAGGGUGCAACCUUAAAAUACCGACCCCCUCCCUCCUCCUCCUCCUCCUCCCUCGUCAUUGACAGCUUUGCGACCCGGUCAAUCCGUCAGACAGGGAGGAUCUGGGGAGGAGGGCGCCAAGGCAGGAGAGGACGAAAGGCGAUCACCUCUGGCCGGUUUGAUCCAAUCGCCAAUACCGAGCAGGCUGGGGACCUGCCUCUCCGUACAUGAGGACGACACAGCGGCUUCACCGGGGGAUUUUGGUCCGAGGAACACGUUUGACUCAAGAGAUCCACACAGCGAGAUUAUAUUGAGACUGUUGUCAGGCUGAUCUGAGCGGCAAAACAAUAAUAAUAAAAGGGGGGCGGACAGGAGCUAUUUCGCAGUCUCUACAUAAACUCCCCGGAAUACAAAUCCAGGUGGUGGGUGGAGAAAAGGCACAGCCCAGUGCUGGAUCCCAGAGGGACUGUCAGUGUGGUAAGGACCCUUGAGACGAAGGAGGGUGCAUGGAGGGUUCAAGGCCUGUGAAGCCAGGGUCUUCAGCCUGCCUCUGGUUGGGGCUGGUUUCUGUGGCUGUAGCCUUCCUUUGCGCAGAAGCCCGGACCACUCCGAGCCCCCUUCAUACCCCCAGCAAUGCAACCUGCAUGGGAAACUCCAAGUGUCAUCCAGGGAUCAUCCUGCCCAUCUGGUAUCCCGAGGAUCCCUCCAUGGGAGACAAGAUCGCACGGGUCAUUGUGUAUUUUGUGGCCCUGAUCUACAUGUUUCUUGGAGUGUCCAUCAUUGCUGACCGUUUCAUGGCAGCCAUUGAGGUCAUCACUUCCCAGGAGAGGGAAAUUGUCAUCAAAAGGCCCAAUGGAGAAACAACCACCACCACGAUCCGGGUGUGGAAUGAAACAGUCUCCAACCUCACCCUCAUGGCCUUGGGCUCAUCCGCCCCUGAGAUCAUGCUCUCUGUAAUUGAGGUAUGUGGACAUGAGUUCAAAUCUGGCGAGCUCGGGCCUUCCACAAUUGUUGGCAGUGCAGCCUUCAAUAUGUUUGUUAUCAUUGGCAUCUGUGUGUCUGCCAUUCCCCAAGGAGAGGUACGCAAAAUCAAACACCUCAGAGUGUUCUUUAUCACUGCAGGCUGGAGCAUCUUUGCUUACAUUUGGCUCUACAUGAUCCUGGCUGUGUUUUCUCCCAACGUAGUCCAGGUCUGGGAGGGUCUACUCACACUGGCCUUCUUCCCCAUAUGCGUACUCCUUGCCUGGGUGGCAGACAGACGACUACUCUUCUACAAGUUCAUGCACAAGAAGUAUCGCAGCGACAAACACAGGGGUGUCAUCAUCGAGACGGAGACCGAACGCUCCAAGGGGAUUGAGAUGGAUGGCAAGAUGGUCAACUCUCACUUCAUGGAUGGCGGUGCGGCCAGCAAUCUUAUUGGUUUGAUUGAGAACAAAGAGGUAGAUGAGUCCCGGCGUGAUAUGAUCCGCAUCUUGAAAGACCUGAAGCAGAAGCACCCAGAGAAAGAGUUGGAUCAGCUGGUCGAGAUGGCCAACUAUUACGCUCUCUCGCACCAGCAAAAGAGCCGUGCCUUCUACCGCAUCCAAGCUACACGCAUGAUGACAGGCGCAGGAAAUAUUCUGAAGAAACAUGUGUCAGAGCAGGCAAAAAAGAGCUCCAGUGUGCAGGAGGUGCAUGUGGAGGAACCAGAAGAGUAUGUGUCUCGGAUCGCUUUUGAGCCUGCUGUCUACCAGUGCCUCGAGAACUGUGGCGCUGCCAUUCUGACCAUCACCAGGAAGGGUGGUGACAUCAACAAGACGAUCUACGUGGAUUAUAAGACGGAGGAUGGCUCUGCUAACGCUGGGGCUGACUACGAAUUUACAGAGGGCACGGUGGUGUUCAAACCAGGAGAGAUGAUCAAGGAAAUAAGCAUUGGCAUCAUAGACGACGACCUCUUUGAAGAGGACGAGCACUUUUUUGUGCGCCUCAGUAACCUACGUGUCCUGGAGACUGAGGACGAGGUGUUAUCCCCCAACAGUCUCCCGUAUCCAAAGGCCAUGCUGGGCUUCCCCGCUGUGGCCACUGUGACCAUUCUGGAUGACGAUCACUCGGGGAUCUUCACCUUUGAAAGCAACUCAGUGCACGUCAGUGAGAGCAUAUGCAUUAUGGAAGUGAAAGUGCUAAGGACUUCUGGAGCAAGGGGGACGGUCAUUGUGCCUUAUCGCACCGUGGAAGGACUUGCCAAAGGAGGAGGGGAGGACUUUGAAGAUACCUACGGAGAGCUUGAGUUCAAAAACGAUGAGACCUGCAAACUUAUUCACGUGAAAAUUAUUGACGAUGAGGAGUAUGAGAAAAACAAGAACUUCUUCCUGGAACUGGCCGAGCCUCGCAUGGUAGACAUGAGUCUGCAGAAAGAUGUGCCAGACAGGAAGAUGACAUCAGACGAGGAGGAAGCCAAGCGGAUCGCAGAGAUGGGAAAGCCGGUGCUGGGGGAACACUCCAAGCUGGAAGUCAUAAUUGAGGAAUCGUACGAGUUUAAGAGCACAGUGGACAAGCUGAUCAAAAAGACCAACCUGGCGCUGGUGGUGGGGACGAACUCCUGGAGAGACCAGUUCAUGGAGGCCAUUACAGUCAGUGCAGAUGAGGACGAAGAGGACACAGGAGAGGAACGGCUGCCGUCCUGUUUCGACUACGUCAUGCACUUCCUCACUGUCUUCUGGAAGGUCCUGUUUGCUUGCGUCCCUCCCACAGACUACCUGAACGGUUGGGCCUGUUUCAUCGUCUCCAUCUUCAUCAUCGGUCUGCUCACGGCCGUCAUCGGCGACCUGGCGUCUCACUUUGGCUGCACCAUCGGCCUCAAGGACUCGGUCACUGCUGUGGUUUUUGUGGCGAUUGGUACAUCUGUGCCAGACACCUUUGCCAGUAAGGUAGCAGCAGUUCAGGACACUUACGCAGACGCCUCCAUUGGGAAUGUGACCGGCAGCAACGCCGUCAACGUCUUCCUGGGAAUCGGCGUAGCCUGGUCGGUGGCGGCCAUCUACUGGCACAUGAAAGGGAAGCCGUUUGUGGUGGAAGCCGGCUCGCUGGCCUUCUCUGUCACUCUCUUCACCAUCUUCGCCUUCCUGGCAGUCUCGGUGCUGCUUUAUCGGCGCCGGGCCCACAUCGGAGGAGAACUGGGCGGGCCCCGGGGACACAGACUGGCCACGUCAGCCUUCUUGUUCAGCCUCUGGUUCCUUUACAUCCUCUUCUCCAGUCUGGAGGCCUACUGUCAUAUAGAGGGCUUCUAAACAGAAAAGACUUGAGCGUGAGAGAAUACAAACAUACAGGGGUUUAAAGUACAACUUCAGAGGUAAAAGAGUGAAUUUUCACUGUGGAAUUUGGGUCAGUCUUGUAUGGUGUGAACGGACAGGAGAGGUAAACCCGGGAUUUUCCCAGACACCUCCCUCCCUCUCCCUCUCUCUCUCCCUCAACCCCUUCUGUAAGGAUGCUUGAAGGUGCGUAUCCUGCCCUCUAGUGCCGACAGGCCUGGCUAUCGGAGAGCCAUCCUGAGCCCAUGCGAGUGUGCUUACAGUUGGGAUUGGGUUACCACCGAGUCCAGAAGAUGCCGAGGGGUGGUCCUGCAUUCCACUGGAAGAGCCUGCAGUCUUAUAUCCGGAGAGAGUUGAGUUAAUCAGAGUUUCCUAAGGAGCACUGCAGUUCUCAGAAAUCACACAAGCGAAUAAGAUGAAGAAGAAGAAGAGGAGCGACAGUGGCAGUUCAUACUGGCAGAUGAGUCACCAUUCAAACAGGCGAGGAGGAAGAGGCGGACACAGUGAACAUGGUCAAACUGCCCUGAACAUUACUUCCGUACUCUAUAUGUAUCUAUAUAUAAUAUAUUUCCAUAUUUUCUGUAUAUUUUGAAUAUUUGUUUAAAUGUGAUCACCUUCUGCUUCUAACAACAGAGGAUU